rnacentral:rRNA from 1 species
GACGAACGCUGGCGGCGUGCCUAAUACAUGCAAGUCGAGCGGACUUGACAGAGCUUGCUCUGUUCAGGUUAGCGGCGGACGGGUGAGUAACACGUGGGCAACCUGCCCUGCAGAUUGGGAUAACUCCGGGAAACCGGGGCUAAUACCGAAUAACAUGGAAAACCUCAUGGUUUUCUUUUAAAAGGCGGCUUCGGCUGUCACUGCAGGAUGGGCCCGCGGCGCAUUAGCUAGUUGGUGAGGUAACGGCUCACCAAGGCGACGAUGCGUAGCCGACCUGAGAGGGUGAUCGGCCACACUGGGACUGAGACACGGCCCAGACUCCUACGGGAGGCAGCAGUAGGGAAUCUUCCGCAAUGGACGAAAGUCUGACGGAGCAACGCCGCGUGAGUGAAGAAGGUUUUCGGAUCGUAAAACUCUGUUGUUAGGGAAGAACAAGUACCGGAGUAACUGCCGGUACCUUGACGGUACCUAACCAGAAAGCCACGGCUAACUACGUGCCAGCAGCCGCAGUAAUAC